AGUGAACGCUGGCGGCAGGCCUAACACAUGCAAGUCGAACGGUAAGGCCCUUCGGGGUACACGAGUGGCGAACGGGUGAGUAACACGUGGGUGAUCUGCCCUGCACUUCGGGAUAAGCCUGGGAAACUGGGUCUAAUACCGGAUAGGACUCCGGACUGCAUGGUCUGGGGUGGAAAGCUUUUGCGGUGUGGGAUGGGCCCGCGGCCUAUCAGCUUGUUGGUGGGGUGAUGGCCUACCAAGGCGACGACGGGUAGCCGGCCUGAGGGGGUGACCGGCCACACUGGGGCUGAGAUACGGCCCAGACUCCUACGGGAGGCAGCAGUGGGGAAUAUUGCACAAUGGGCGCAAGCCUGAUGCAGCGACGCCGCGUGAGGGAUGACGGCCUUCGGGUUGUAAACCUCUUUCAGCACCGACGAAGCGCAAGUGACGGUAGGUGCAGAAGAAGGACCGGCCAACUACGUGCCAGCCGCCGCCGUAA
rnacentral:rRNA from 1 species